GAAUGCUGACAUAAGUAACGAUAAAGCGGGUGAAAAGCCCGCUCGCCGGAAGACCAAGGGUUCCUGUCCAACGUUAAUCGGGGCAGGGUGAGUCGACCCCUAAGGCGAGGCCGAAAGGCGUAGUCGAUGGGAAACAGGUUAAUAUUCCUGUACUUGGUGUUACUGCGAAGGGGGGACGGAGAAGGCUAUGUUGGCCGGGCGACGGUUGUCCCGGUUUAAGCGUGUAGGCUGGUUUUCCAGGCAAAUCCGGAAAAUCAAGGCUGAGGCGUGAUGACGAGGCACUACGGUGCUGAAGCGACAAAUGCCCUGCUUCCAGGAAAAGCCUCUAAGCAUCAGGUAACAUCAAAUCGUACCCCAAACCGACACAGGUGGUCAGGUAGAGAAUACCAAGGCGCUUGAGAGAACUCGGGUGAAGGAACUAGGCAAAAUGGUGCCGUAACUUCGGGAGAAGGCACGCUGAUAUGUAGGUGAAGCGACUUGCUCGUGGAGCUGAAAUCAGUCGAAGAUACCAGCUGGCUGCAACUGUUUAUUAAAAACACAGCACUGUGCAAACACGAAAGUGGACGUAUACGGUGUGACGCCUGCCCGGUGCCGGAAGGUUAAUUGAUGGGGUUAGCGGUAACGCGAAGCUCUUGAUCGAAGCCCCGGUAAACGGCGGCCGUAACUAUAACGGUCCUAAGGUAGCGAAAUUCCUUGUCGGGUAAGUUCCGACCUGCACGAAUGGCGUAAUGAUGGCCAGGCUGUCUCCACCCGAGACUCAGUGAAAUUGAACUCGCUGUGAAGAUGCAGUGUACCCGCGGCAAGACGGAAAGACCCCGUGAACCUUUACUAUAGCUUGACACUGAACAUUGAGCCUUGAUGUGUAGGAUAGGUGGGAGGCUUUGAAGUGUGGACGCCAGUCUGCAUGGAGCCGACCUUGAAAUACCACCCUUUAAUGUUUGAUGUUCUAACGUGGGCCCCUUACCGGGGUUGCGGACAGUGUCUGGUGGGUAGUUUGACUGGGGCGGUCUCCUCCUAAAGAGUAACGGAGGAGCACGAAGGUUGGCUAAUCCUGGUCGGACAUCAGGAGGUUAGUGCAAUGGCAUAAGCCAGCUUGACUGCGAGCGUGACGGCGCGAGCAGGUGCGAAAGCAGGUCAUAGUGAUCCGGUGGUUCUGAAUGGAAGGGCCAUCGCUCAACGGAUAAAAGGUACUCCGGGGAUAACAGGCUGAUACCGCCCAAGAGUUCAUAUCGACGGCGGUGUUUGGCACCUCGAUGUCGGCUCAUCACAUCCUGGGGCUGAAGUAGGUCCCAAGGGUAUGGCUGUUCGCCAUUUAAAGUGGUACGCGAGCUGGGUUUAGAACGUCGUGAGACAGUUCGGUCCCUAUCUGCCGUGGGCGCUGGAGAACUGAGGGGGGCUGCUCCUAGUACGAGAGGACCGGAGUGGACGCAUCACUGGUGUUCGGGUUGUCAUGCCAAUGGCACUGCCCGGUAGCUAAAUGCGGAAGAGAUAAGUGCUGAAAGCAUCUAAGCACGAAACUUGCCCCGAGAUGAGUUCUCCCUGACUCCUUGAGAGUCCUGAAGGAACGUUGAAGACGACGACGUUGAUAGGCCGGGUGUGUAAGCGCAGCGAUGCGUUGAGCUAACCGGUACUAAUGAACCGUGAGGCUUAACC
rnacentral:rRNA from 1 species